rnacentral:ncRNA from 1 species
AAUAUAUUUGAUCUUGAUUUGGGACUUUUACGGAGUUAUUAAAAUUGUAUGAAAAUUAUUGUAGGAAGGGAUAAAUUAGUUAUAUAUUAAUUGUCAUAGAAAAAGAAAGAACAUUUUUGAUUUACAUAACCUCAACAUAAAAUAUUAUAAAAAUAAUAUACGAUUGUAUGAAUUAGUAAUAACAUAAGAUCUGAUGAAUAUUUGUGCCAGCAUUCGCGGUUAUACUUUAAGAUCGAGUAAAAGCUAUCGUUUGUUAGUUAAGUGAUAAUUUACUAAAAAAUAUUAACAAUAAAAGGUGAAAUUAGAGUGUUGUUGUUAUAUGAUAGUAUAAAUUUAUAUUGAAGCUAAAAAAUUUUGAAUAUAAACUAGGAUUAGAUACCCUAUUAUUUCAAAAGGAGUAAUAAAAAAAUUAAUGAUUAAUAGUUAGAUACUUGAAAAUUAAAAGAUUUGGCGGUGAUUUAAUCUUAUUAGAGGAACUUGUUUUAUAAUCGAUAAUCCACGAAUAAUCUUACUUGUUUUUGUGAAUAGCUAGUUUGUAUACCGUCAUUAUCAGGUAAUUCUGUUGAAAAAGAUAAAUUUCUAAAAUUAAUUGGUUGUUAAAAUUAGAUCAAGGUGCAGCUUAUAAACAAGUAAAAAUGAGUUACAAUAAAUUAUUUUAACUACGGAUUAGUUGAAUAUAAUAUUACUAUGAAGGAGGAUUUAAUUGUAAUGUAAGUUUAAUAAGCCUACGAGAAAUAAGCUCUAAAUCAUGUACAUAUCGCCCGUCGCUUCCGUUUAUAGACGGAAUAAGUCGUAACAUAGUAGGUGUACCGGAAGGUGGACCUAGAAUUAUAA